rnacentral:lncRNA from 1 species
GGGCCUGGUCGGCUCCAGCAGGUGCAUGGUCUUUCCCACGCGCACCUGCUGGCCUGCGCCUCGCGCGCCCUCUGCUGGUCAUAGCCGGUAAGUGCACUGAGGAAAGGGCCCGUCCGGGAAAUGUUAGUAAAUCAAUCCGAAUCUCGUUUCCACAGCUACCCAAACGGUUUGUAGGACGGUUACUUUCCUCAUUUUCAGUCUCCCAGAGCUAGGAGUUCACAUCCUAAGUCAAUCUGUGUCCUAGAAAGUACUUCAGAGAGCUCCGUUUCCUAGGAUCAGAUUUCCUCCCUUCCCUAAGAGCAGUGUUAUUUUAAUUAACGACAGAUGAGCGCACAGGCAAAGGUUCUCUGGACAGGUAUGGGGUCAUAAAAAGAAGGAGACGAUGCCAAAGGAUCGCGGUUUUGCUUAUUUAUUUCGAUGUUUCCUUAGGGCAGUGGACUUUUGGGACAUUCUUACGCGAGCGUUAAAAUCCACUGAUAAACCGUGUAAGUCAGAGCCCUCACGUCCCGAGUUAGAGGGAACCACCAGCAGGAGAGAGGACAGAGGAAGAGGGCGGCGAAGGCGAGUGAAGGAGACGAACAGGGGCCGUAGCAGAGGACAGGACCCGGGCCUUUGGCCCGCAGCAUCCCAGAAGGAUAACUUGUCAGGGCCGUGA